rnacentral:rRNA from 1 species
CACAUGCAGUCGAGCGAAGCGCUUUGGAAAGAUUCUUCGGAUGAUUUCCUUUGCGACUGAGCGGCGGACGGGUGAGUAACGCGUGGGUAACCUGCCUCAUACAGGGGGAUAACAGUUAGAAAUGACUGCUAAUACCGCAUAAGACCACGGUACCGCAUGGUACAGUGGUAAAAACUCCGGUGGUAUGAGAUGGACCCGCGUCUGAUUAGGUAGUUGGUGGGGUAACGGCCCACCAAGCCGACGAUCAGUAGCCGACCUGAGAGGGUGACCGGCCACAUUGGGACUGAGACACGGCCCAGACUCCUACGGGAGGCAGCAGUGGGGAAUAUUGCACAAUGGAGGAAACUCUGAUGCAGCGACGCCGCGUGAAGGAUGAAGUAUUUCGGUAUGUAAACUUCUAUCAGCAGGGAAGAAAAUGACGGUACCUGACUAAGAAGCCCCGGCUAACUACGUGCCAGCAGCCGCGGUAAUACGUAGGGGGCAAGCGUUAUCCGGAUUUACUGGGUGUAAAGGGAGCGUAGACGGCACGGCAAGCCAGAUGUGAAAGCCCGGGGCUCAACCCCGGGACUGCAUUUGGAACUGCUGAGCUAGAGUGUCGGAGAGGCAAGUGGAAUUCCUAGUGUAGCGGUGAAAUGCGUAGAUAUUAGGAGGAACACCAGUGGCGAAGGCGGCUUGCUGGACGAUGACUGACGUUGAGGCUCGAAAGCGUGGGGAGCAACAGGAUUAGAUACCCUGGUAGUCCACGCCGUAACGAUGACUGCUAGGUGUCGGGUGGCAAAGCCAUUCGGUGCCGCAGCUAACGCAAUAAGCAGUCCACCUGGGGAGUACGUUCGCAAGAAUGAAACUCAAGGAAUUGACGGGGACCCGCACAAGCGGUGGAGCAUGUGGUUUAAUUCG